rnacentral:rRNA from 1 species
GUGAGGAAUAUUGGGCAAUGGGCGCAAGCCUGACCCAGCCACGCCGCGUGUGUGAUGAAGGCCUUCGGGUCGUAAAGCACUGUGGGGAGAGACGAAACAGCGCAUCAGGAAAUGGGUGCGCCUUGACGGUACCUCCUUAGCAAGCACCGGCUAACUCUGUGCCAGCAGCCGCGGUAAUACAGAGGGUGCAAACGUUGCUCGGAUUUACUGGGCGUAAAGCGCGUGUAGGCGGACUCGCAAGUCGGUUGUGAAAUCCCUGGGCUCAACCUAGGAACUGCAUCCGAAACUGCUUGUCUUGAGUAAUGGAGAGGGUGGCGGAAUUCCCGGUGUAGAGGUGAAAUUCGUAGAUAUCGGGAGGAACAUCAGUGGCGAAGGCGGCCACCUGGACAUUUACUGACGCUGAGACGCGAAAGCGUGGGGAGCAAACAGGAUUAGAUACCCCAGUAGUCC